AUGCUUACUUGGGCAACACAUGUACUAAAACUGGAACAAUUCAGAGAUUUAGCACGGCCUCUGCUCAAGAAAGACACACAAAGUGGUGAAGCGUUCCCUACUUUC